rnacentral:lncRNA from 1 species
UUGUGAAGUCAGAGAGCUGUCGGCCAGGCAACAUCUCUAAGUGGGGAUGGAGGCAGCCAUCUGCUGGUUGUAAUUUUGGGGCAAAAGAACAGAUAGCUACACUGUCCCCAAAAUAUCACACGCAUGGAAGGAUGUUGGAAAUUAAUGUUGGUAAAAAGAAAGUAUAUGAAAAUGUCUUUAUAAAUUAUAACAUGCUAUAUAAGUGGCAUUACAGUGAUCAAAGGUAAAGCAACACAUAUUAUAAGGAUAAGAUAAAAUUUGAUUACAUAAGCACCUUAGCAGGCCUUAGGACAUAAGAGGCUUCAUCCAUUUCUUCCUCCUUCCUGAGUGCCUGCAGGAGAUGAAUGAGACACAGUUUCCGCUCCCACAGAGCUUGCAAUCUUUUAGGGGCAACCGGGUACUUACGCAUGACGCCAGGCAGACAGUGAUGAGUGCCAUGAGAGCAACGGCUGCCUCCUAUAGGGACAGAAAACACUUUCUCUCUACUCUCUGAGUUUUCAUAAUUGACUCCAGGACAGUAGGCAGAUGAACAGGAGAAAAAAACAUGCACAUUUAUUACACGGAUGGGAGCAGCACGAGAAACAAAAGGUGGACACCAUGACAAAAUGCUCAGACUGACUUAAACAAAAGUGGGAGGCUACCGUUUCACACAAGUCAGAUGUGCAGUUGAGUAUGGCCUGACCGAGAGAAGGAAUUGUGUCAGCAGGAUUCUUUUCUCCACAGUGCUGCUUCUAGCUUGGUUCCCCUGCCAGGUGUUUAUGGCAGCAUCUCCUGACUUCAACUCCCAGAAUCUCUGGGAUUCCCCAUCCUGGUUUCAAGAUGCUGCAGAGGAAGCCCACUGCAAGCUUCACGUCUUUGGAGCAGCGAAUUCAAUAAAGAGUGCAGGACCCUAUUUCCCAGAGCCUCAGCUAAGUCUUCAUGUCCUCUUGGCUUCACUUGGGUUAAAUUCCCAACCCUAACACAGUCAUGUGGCAAAGGAGAUGGGAAACGGUCAUUGGCUUGAGCCAAUGUGAACUCACUCUUGUCCCAUGAAGGAAGGCACUAGUCAUAUCUCUUUAUGCUCCAAAAUUUAGCCCAGUGCUCUCAGUAAAUGACUCUUUUUUAUGUUAUGAAAGAAAACCAAGAAGGGUUGGUUUGGUGGGAAGAUGAACUCAGAGCUUUGGUAGGGAAGGAGUGAGACCCCAAGGCUUAGGUUGGGGACAAUAGGUAGAUGCAAUCGAGAGCUCUCACUGUAAUAUUCUCUGGAAUCCUUGAACUUCAGAAGUGGCCCACAUGGCCUAAUUGGAAGAUAGUGGGCCCUUCUUACUUGAAGACCAGAUAGUGAGACAGUGCCUUAUAAGACAACAUCUGUCUUCCUCAGGAUCUGCUCUACCUCCACUCCCAGCCACAAAAUUCAUAAUUAAGGUCAGAUGUCAGCACAACCUAACAGGGAAAGCAGAGCCUGCUAAGGGAGAAGAGGGAUUCUACACCCAAGCAGCUCAGAACCUGGCUGAUGUGUACUGGCAAGAACUGGUGAGUAUGCCUGGAAGUGAAUCUCCAUGGUGCUGGACCAAAAGGUUGGAAUAUAAAACUGGAUAAGAGAGAGUUUCUCUAUAAGGGGGCACUCCUCUUUCACUCAGAAUUAGCUACCUGGCAAGGGUCCCAGGAUGUGGGUCUCAUACACCGCUUGGAUAAGUCCUGGAAACUUGCAGAAAGUGUUGGCCUACAAAAAAAUGAAGUAAAGAUGGCAGAACUACCAGCACUGACUGUGGAGAAAAGAAUCAAGAGGCUUGGAGAAGUGGACAUGCUAGAAUAGUUCUCCCACGGGAGGUCAGUUGACCAUGCUCCUGGGGAGAACACUGCAUGGAUGCAGGUGAUAAGGAAUGCACUGGACACAGAGCCAUCCUGUGCAAAUAACUCACCAUCUUCCUGCGCCCAGCUAUCACCAGACACUCGGCUGAUAGAAAAAUGCAAGUUAGCUCACUGCGACCUUGGCAUUAUCAGUACCGCACAAAGCCCUCUUCAGCACACAGCACAAGCACCAUCCUAUAAAAUCUCCAGCAAGCUUUUGUCUCCUUGCAGUCAGCUCCUCUCUUGCUGACUUGCCCAUUGCUUUCCUGAAAUACAUUUUCCUACUUUUUCCAAUAAAUCUGCCUUUCUUUACCUAAAACUAUCUUGAUAAAUUCUUUUUACCAUCUGUGCCACCAGCCCUAGGCAGUUGCUACCCAUGACAGUGAGGAUACCAGCACACUGAGAAACUCAGUGGCAGCUGUCUUCUGUAGGUUGGGGCUGACAAGAGAUGACACUACAGAACUGAUCACACAGUAGCAGAGGCCAGCAGCACUUAAUCGUCAGAAGCUAGAUGGCAUAAUAAGGACAGUAAAUCUGGAAUGACAGUCA